ACUCAAAUAGCUUAAGAAGAGCGUUAUGUUGAAGCCAUAGGAGUGGCAGUUUGCCUUUGAGUG
rnacentral:tRNA from 1 species